GAGCGCGUGAACUGGGAAAACUGUUCAUUGUGAGCGUUAAGUGUUAUGUAUAAUCGACCUUCACACGGUGGGGGUCGCUGGUUCGAACCCAGUAGCGCCCACCA
rnacentral:tRNA from 1 species